AUUGAACGCUGGCGGCAGGCCUAACACAUGCAAGUCGAACGAGUGGCGGACGGGUGAGUAAUGUCUGGGAAACUGCCUGAUGGAGGGGGAUAACUACUGGAAACGGUAGCUAAUACCGCAUACCAUCAGAUGUGCCCAGAUGGGAUUAGCUAGUUGGUGGGGUAACGGCUCACCAAGGCGACGAUCCCUAGCUGGUCUGAGAGGAUGACCAGCCACACGGGAAGUGGACCACGGUCCAGUCUCCGACGGGAGGAAGAAGUGGGGAAUAUUGAACAAGGGGCGCAAGCCUGAGGCAGCCAUGCGGCGGGUAGGAAGAAGGCUUUGGGGUUGUAAAGUACGUUCAGCGGGGAGGCGUGACCCGCAGAAGAAGCACCGGCUAACUCCGUGCCAGCAGCCGCGGUAAUAC
rnacentral:rRNA from 1 species